CCCUUAGAUGUUCUGGGCCGCACGCGCGCUACACUGAUGCAUUCAACGAGCCUAUCCUUGACCGACAGGUCCGGGUAAUCUUUGAAUCUGCAUCGUGACGGGGAUAGAUUAUUGUAAUUAUUAAUCUUCAACGAGGAAUGCCUAGUAAACGCAAGUCAUCAGCUUGCAUUGAUUACGUCCCUGCCCUUUGUACACACCGCCCGUCGCACCUACCGAUUGAAUGGUCCGGUGAAAUCUCCGGACUGGCGUGAGUCGGAGCAAUCUGACAAACGCCGGAAAGUUGAUUAAACCUUACCAUUUAGAGGAAGGUGAAGUCGUAACA
rnacentral:rRNA from 1 species